rnacentral:lncRNA from 1 species
AAGAUUGUUCAGGCAGAAUGUGUAACUUAAAGGCACAGAACAUAAUCUCAAAGAACUCCCAACAUUAAGGAAUAUACAAAGGAGACUAAGGAACAGAUAAGGGGAAAAAAAUCAGGAGUCAUUCACAGAAGCCACAUGCUAAAGAUGAAGUGGGAAGGAAAAUGCCUAUCAAAUGGAGCAAAAAGAUCAAUAUAAGGGUAGAACACCAGAGAAUUUUUAUCUGGAGAAAUAAAUGGGAGACAAUUAAGUGGAAGAAAUAUGGGGAGGGACAGAUACAAGGAAGUAUGUGUGAAGUGGAAAUCAGGAGGUGAGAUGGAGGACAAGGAAGAAGCACAGUUAAAAGCAGCAUGAAGAAGUUAAAACCUGGACUCACUGACGCUGUGUUAAAAUUUAGUGCUAAAUUACAACUCCCAGAAGGAAGGAGAUGGAUCCAACAGCGAUGUAAGCAAUCCCCAA